CGCACGUACUGGAGAUCCGGGGGGGGACGUGGCUCCGCCCAGCGGCAGGAAUAGCUGUGCCCGAAGAGCGGAGACGUCUACUGCUGCCUUCCUCUUUUUGACUUUUCUUUAAAAUUCUGGUUACGCAAAGGGAUAAGAGUGGCUGUGUUUGGUUGCUUAGCGGUUGGCACGGGAUAUAUAGCUCUAUCAAAACAAGAAGCUGAGAUGAAGUUUUGGGAAAUGUUUUAAAUCAGCAGGUUCCCUUUCCCCUCUGUGGGUACUUUUGAUUAACAGAGCAGUGCACAGCCCCAAAUGAGGUUGCUAUGAGUUGGAGAAAUAAAAACAUUCUUGGGCCCCAAGCACCUCUCAGGGCUGUCUGUAGUGAUUCCUAGUUAAGUUAGGCUUCUGGAAGGUGUCAUUCUGAGCACGCUAGAUACUGUUGUUUUGUUUGCUCCUGAAACAGCCACAACAUAAACUUCUUGUAAACUGCCUUGCAGGAAUUGCAUGGAGAUGUAGGAGGGGGAUUUGGAAGUACACACCCAGUCGCAAGGGUAAGAACCUGUUUACUGCCUUGGAAGCUGUCCUCUGUGACCAGUUCUUCUGACUCAGCAAGACUCCCUGGUUUACUUUUUGAAAAUCAGGCCAUCCGACUUUUGCAGAUGGACUACAGUCAGGGGUGGAUCCAGAGAGGGUGCACUGGCACGGCUGCAUGCCUCUUUUGGAUUGCACUGCACAAUGGGAGCCUCUGGGGACUGUUUAAAGUCCCUAAAGCAGAGAGAGGAAGGGCUUCACUCUGAAGAGUCUCCCUGCAAGUUUGUGUACACAAUUUGAGGAGGCUAAAAGUGAAGACACAGUUACAGGAAGUGACUGUGAUCUUCUGCUUGCUGAUGACUUCCCUGAAUGCGAAAUCUGAGUGUGGUAUGCAACCGAGUAUGGAUCAUUUCUCUUCAGCUUGUGACAACUUUGGUCAUAAUCAACACUAAGAAGAUAGAAGUGAUGCAUCUCCAUAUACUGCUGUUAACAAGGAUGUUACCUCUGGAGACACAAAUCCACAGUUUGAGAACUGAAACUAAGCAUCACAGAGUUGCUUAAUGGGAUCUUCUAGACUGAGCACUGAGUCCCAUUGGGUACAGUGGCUUUCUUUUAUCUUUAAGUAACCUGUAGAGGAGACUGGGAACCCCAUAAGAUUGGUCCCCUAGUGUAGUCCAUGGCCUAUUGAGACCUAUUUCUAAAACUUUUCUAAGAAGGUUAAAUGACUAUAUUGUCUCAAAUAGUAUAUAAUUAGAAGUUAUAAUCUCUAUUCUAUGAUGAUAUCUUUGAGCUUUAACAUAUUUUAAAUUAAAACUAUAUAUAGUUUUUUUUUAAAACACCAUAACAAAAAAACCCCUGAUUAAAUAAAAAAUCUGAUUUCAGUAAAAAAAUCUUUUUUUCAAAACAUUGAUUUUUAUCCACCCUGGCUUGGGGUCAUUACUGUACUAUAUUGUGUCAUUAUUUUCUUUUUAAAUAAAAAAACUAUGUUUUCAAA